rnacentral:rRNA from 1 species
GAUGAACGCUAGCGGGAGGCCUAACACAUGCAAGCCGAGCGGUAUAAUUCCUUCGGGAAUUAGAGAGCGGCGCACGGGUGCGGAACACGUGUGCAACCUGCCUUUAUCUGGGGGAUAGCCUUCCGAAAGGGAGAUUAAUACCCCAUAAUAUAUCGACUGGCAUCAGUUAAUAUUGAAAACUCCGGUGGAUAGAGAUGGGCACGCGCAAGAUUAGAUAGUUGGUGAGGUAACGGCUCACCAAGUCAGUGAUCUUUAGGGGGCCUGAGAGGGUGAUCCCCCACACUGGUACUGAGACACGGACCAGACUCCUACGGGAGGCAGCAGUGAGGAAUAUUGGACAAUGGGUGAGAGCUUGAUCCAGCCAUCCCGCGUGAAGGACGACGGCCCUAUGGGUUGUAAACUUCUUUUGUACAGGGAUAAACCUAGAUACGUGUAUCUAGCUGAAGGUACUGUACGAAUAAGCACCGGCUAACUCCGUGCCAGCAGCCGCCGUAA